UUGCUGUGGAUACUCCCAGGAGGUCACUCUCUCCAGGCUCUGUCCAGGUGGCCUGCGGGAGCAUAAGGCUCUGCCCUGUGAUGUACAGUCCCUUUCCAUGAUGUGGAAAGUAAAACCAGGCCUUGAGUCUGCACCUGCAUAUUCCUACAGCUUCUCAGAGUCCUGUGGACAAUGACUGAGAAGACAAACCAAGCAGGAAGCACGU
ensembl:snoRNA SNORA73 Small nucleolar RNA SNORA73 family